AGCAGCCGCGGUAAUUCCAGCUCCAAUAGCAUAUAUUAAAGUUGUUGCAGUUAAAAAGCUCGUAGUUGAAUUUCGGGGUUCUACCGUUGGUCGGGCUUUGUCUGUACUGAUGUGUAGAAUUUCUACCUUCUGGGGAACCAUCAUGUUAUUAAUUUAGCGUGGUGGGAAACCAGGACCUCUACCUUGAAAAAAUUAGAGUGUUCAAAGCAGGCUUAUGUCUGAAUACAUUAGCAUGGAAUAAUAGAAUAGGACGGUGGUCCUGUUUUGUUGGUUUCUGAAUCACCGUAAUGAUUAAUAGGGAUAGUUGGGGGCAUUAGUAUUCAAUUGUCAGAGGUGAAAUUCUUGGAUUUAUUGAAGACUAACUUCUGCGAAAGCAUUUGCCAAGGAUGUUUUCAUUAAUCAAGAACGAAAGUUAGGGGAUCGAAGACGAUCAGAUACCGUCGUAGUCUUAACCAUAAACUAUGCCGACUAGGGAUCGGACGAUGUUAAUUUUUCUUGACUCGUUCGGCGCCUUACGGGA
rnacentral:rRNA from 1 species